rnacentral:misc_RNA from 1 species
GUGAAGAACGUAGCAAAAUGCGAUAAGUAAUGUGAAUUGCAGAAUUCAGUGAAUCAUCGAAUCUUUGAACGCACAUUGCGCCCGCUGGUAUUCCGGCGGGCAUGCCUGUUCGAGCGUCAUUUCAACCCUCAAGCCCCCGGGUUUGGUGUUGGGGAUCGGCUCUGCCCUUCUGGGCGGUGCCGCCCCCGAAAUACAUUGGCGGUCUCGCUGCAGCCUCCAUUGCGUAGUAGCUAACACCUCGCAACUGGAACGCGGCGCGGCCAUGCCGUAAAACCCCAACUUCUGAAUGUUGACCUCGGAUCAGGUAGGAAUACCCGCUGAACUUAAGCAUAUCAAUAAGCGGAGG